GCCCAGCCAGUAAGGUGGAUAUGACCCUCGGCUUAUAACCGAGUGGGUUCGGGUUCGAAUCCCGAGUAAGACA
rnacentral:tRNA from 1 species